GGGGAUGCCAUUUAAGUUACAGCCUUUCUCUUAACUACAGCAAUGACAGAAGUAGCUUAUCUCUAGAAUCGUCUGAGGAUGCUGUUUUCAUUUCUAUUCUAGUUGUCAGGUCCAUCUGUGUCAAGGACAUCCUGAGGAUGUUCUGUAACCUCUGUGGUCAUGUAUUCUUUGAGAAGUACCAACAACUACAUAAUCAUCAAGUACCUUCUGGUCUUGUGACUGUGAGCAGGUAG
rnacentral:lncRNA from 1 species